GAAAUGCGAUAAUUAAUGUGAAUUGCAGAAUUCAGUGAAUCAUCCAGUCUUUGAACGCACAUUGCGCCCCCUGGUAUUCCGGGGGGCAUGCCUGUCCGAGCGUCAUUGCUGCCCUCAAGCACGGCUUGUGUGUUGGGCUUCCGUCCCUGGCAACGGGGACGGGCCCAAAAGGCAGUGGCGGCACCAUGUCUGGUCCUCGAGCGUAUGGGGCUUUGUCACCCGCUCCCGUAGGUCCAGCUGGCAGCUAGCCUCGCAACCAAUCUUUUUAACCAGGUUGACCUCGGAUCAGGUAGGGAUACCCGCUGAACUUAAGC
rnacentral:misc_RNA from 1 species